AUAAUCUUGUUGGAAAGAAGAGAAAUUUUCGACGCUUCGUGCGCCGAAUGAAUUCUUUAUAUAUUACGAUUCGAUGCACCCAUAGCACGGUGAUCGUAUAUGAAAUCAUAUCGAUAGUGUGAUUAAGUUAUUCUCAACGUGAAGAGUUGAGAAAAUGAAAAGGGUAUUAUCGUCUUGAAAUUUACGUCAUUACUCUUCCUCGUAACGAAAAUUGUUUCGAAUAAAAGUUGAAUGGUUUCAAAGAGGAGAGUAAAUGCGAUGUAAUUAUUUUUCAGCCGGGAGAACACGUGGAGGUUACAUGAAAGUCAACUUUGUUUCUUUUUUUUUUUUUUUUUUUGAAUGGGCAUAUUCUUUUUAACACAGAUACAUCGACACAAAUUCUUGAAACCAUUCACCUUUUAUCGAAAAUAUUUUUUAAUAUUAUGAAAAACAAGCGAGACACCCGGUAUAUUUCUUAAUUUUUUUAAUAAGUAUAAAACAGGUAAAUAUUAUUAAUAUAUAUAUAUAUAUAAUUAGAAUUAAGUAAAAUGAUGAAAAAAUGCUUAUUUCCUUAAAAAAAUGAGAUUAAAGAGGUAAAGGUAAGUUAUUAUAUAUUAAAUGCAUCUUCUUUGAAAUUAUAUUCUUCUGACAGAAGAUCCCGAAAUUCGAUCGAAAAUGCUGAAGCGAAAAAAUUUCAAAUUUCGAAAAAAAAUUCUUGGAAUCGGAAUUCCUAGAAAAAUUUCUCGAGCGACCUCCUGUCAAUUUAUAUUCUCCUGAUACGAAGUUAAAAAAUUUCAGCGCGGCCAAAUUUUCGACUUUGUAUCAGGAGAGUAUAAGUUGAAAGGAGAUCGAUCGAGAAAUUUUUCCAAGAAUUCUAGAAAUAACAAUUUUUUAUCAAAUUUUUAUAUAUUUACCUAUAUUUUCCUUGGGAUAUUUAUCUUUCCUGUAUUUCUUUUAUACUAACCUCUUUCAAUUACUAUUUUUAAUUUUUUUCAAUAUUUUAUUUAAUUCUAUUUUAUAGAAAAUUUACUUGUUAAAAUAUUCAAUUACUUCUAAGAAUAUUUAAAACAUAUCUUCUGUAUCUCUUAAUUAUGUCUCAGUUGUUUUACCUUUGAUAUUUCUAUCGCUUUGUACGUACAUUCUUAAAUUAUCUAUUAACGCAUAUUGUUACUACUGAAUAAGAAACUUUUCAUGAUGUAAGUCAAGGAAGCUUUUACUUAACAUUGAAAUAUGAUCAUCUUUUUCUAUAUCGUAUGUACAUUAUUUUAAUACGUCAUUUGCUAUUCUUAUAGAUUGCGGAAAUGUAGAAAAUUAAUUUUUUUGAAUGAUGAUCCUUCAACAGUUAUAAACUAAUUCAAAAUAUUUCUAAAACUUGGCAAAUAAUCAAAAAAAAAAAAUUGAUGAAUAGC